AAAACAAACAGGAAAGUGGGCAUUUUUCAGUGGACCUGUUUAUCGGAUGUCUGCGCUUUAGACAUCACCAAAAAAAUAAAGAUCCCACACGACUCAAUCAUGUGCACCCUCCAGACAAUAUUCAUCUUUCUACUGAUGGUUCUUCCAGUGUCUCUAACACUUAAUGGCCAUGAACUACUGAAUGUGAACGAUCCCGUCCUGCUCACCUGCAACACAUCCUGUACAGGGGAUGUGAAAUGGAUGCUUUCGAGUCGGCCUGGUCUAAUUGUGAGUGAGUGUAGGAGUGGUGUUUGUGUUGAAGGCCACGCUUUUAAGAAACGAACAAGGCCUGUUCAUGGAGAAGCGUCUGUUCACCUGAACCAUGUCGAGUACAACGACAAGGGCUGGUACAUCUGCUACUGUGACACUUUAAAGAUCUGCCAGUUCUAUCUGGAUG